GGAAACGGAGUGAUGUCAUAAAUUUGAAUGAUGUAUUUUUCAUGCAUCCUUUUAAGGGACUGGUCAUUUAUGGCGUUGGCAUCGAAAAGAAAGGGGUUGGGUAAACAAAAUUUUGAGCCAGUAAAAGCUUGGGUAAAUGAAAAACAAAACUCAAGGGUUGGGUAAUAAAAAUUCAUUGUCAUUUCCAAAGCCAUGAUUCACUCAAAUAUUGAAGACUA